rnacentral:ncRNA from 1 species
UCAUUUUCUUUGAAUGGGAGAGUAGCUGCAGACCUUAGUCCAAGCGAGCCGGAACAAGUGAGAACCGGUACAAGGUCGGCCGUGAAACGGACCCAGGAGAUGGUCUUCCGAAAUCCAGCGUAGGAAGCCCCGGCUCACACCGUUAUCGUGUUAAGGUGGCUGAAACCAAAGUUUCAGCAACAAGAGUGGUACCGCGAGUUCAAGUCCUCGUCUCUUUA